AAAAUACUUCCGUCCAUCCGGAAAUACUUGUCGUAGGAAUAGAUCUAUCUAGAUGUAUUUUAGUUCUAGAUACAUCCAUUUGUAUCCAUUUUUGUGACAAAUAAUUCCGGACAGAGGGAGUAGCAU
rnacentral:pre_miRNA from 1 species